rnacentral:rRNA from 1 species
GACGAACGCUGGCGGCGUGCUUAACACAUGCAAGUCGAACGGAAAGGCCCUGCUUUUGUGGGGUGCUCGAGUGGCGAACGGGUGAGUAACACGUGAGUAACCUGCCCUUGACUUUGGGAUAACUUCAGGAAACUGGGGCUAAUACCGGAUAGGAGCUCCUGCUGCAUGGUGGGGGUUGGAAAGUUUCGGCGGUUGGGGAUGGACCCGCGGCUUAUCAGCUUGUUGGUGGGGUAGUGGCUUACCAAGGCUUUGACGGGUAGCCGGCCUGAGAGGGUGACCGGCCACAUUGGGACUGAGAUACGGCCCAGACUCCUACGGGAGGCAGCAGUGGGGAAUAUUGCACAAUGGGCGGAAGCCUGAUGCAGCAACGCCGCGUGCGGGAUGACGGCCUUCGGGUUGUAAACCGCUUUCGCCUGUGACGAAGCGUGAGUGACGGUAAUGGGUAAAGAAGCACCAGCUAACUACGU